GAUGAACGCUGGCGGCGUGCCUAAUACAUGCAAGUCGAGCGAACAGACGAGGAGCUUGCUCCUCUGACGUUAGCGGCGGACGGGUGAGUAACACGUGGAUAACCUACCUAUAAGACUGGGAUAACUUCGGGAAACCGGAGCUAAUACCGGAUAAUAUAUUGAACCGCAUGGUUCAAUAGUGAAAGACGGUUUUGCUGUCACUAUAGGAUGGUCCGCGCCGCAUUAGCUAGUUGGUAAGGUAACGGCUUACCAAGGCAACGAUGCGUAGCCGACCUGAGAGGGUGAUCGGCCACACUGGAACUGAGACACGGUCCAGACUCCUACGGGAGGCAGCAGUAGGGAAUCUUCCGCAAUGGGCGAAAGCCUGACGGAGCAACGCCGCGUGAGUGAUGAAGGUCUUCGGAUCGUAAAACUCUGUUAUUAGGGAAGAACAAAUGUGUAAGUAACUAUGCACGUCUUGACGGUACCUAAUCAGAAAGCCACGGCUAACUACGUG
rnacentral:rRNA from 1 species